UAACAUAGCAAGGGAUUUCAAUGCCAUCUUUUGAGUAUUGAAUGAAGGGUGAAUUUGAGACCACUUACAACUCCAUCAUCAAUUUUAAAGAACAGUGACUCUUCAUUGGCCAGUGGAAGAAAUUAACCCACAAUGAUGUUGAUGCUAUUUCUAAGAGGUAAGAGUCACAACUAUUCUUCUUAGAUGUAAAACUAUUUUAUCC
rnacentral:lncRNA from 1 species